GACGAACGCUGGCGGCGUGCUUAACACAUGCAAGUCGAACGGAAAGGCCCUGCUUUUGUGGGGUGCUCGAGUGGCGAACGGGUGAGUAACACGUGAGUAUCCUGCCCUUGACUUUGGGAUAACUUCAGGAAACUGGGGCUAAUACCGGCUAGGAGCUCCUGCUGCUUGGGGGGGGUUGGAAAGUUUCGGCGGUUGGGGAUGGACUCGCGGCUUACCAGCUUGUUGGUGGGGUAGUGGCUUACCAAGGCUUUGACGGGUAGCCGGCCUGAGAGGGUGACCGGCCACAUUGGGACUGAGAGACGGCCCAGACUCCUACGGGAGGCAGCAGUGGGGAAUAUUGCACAAUGGGCGGAAGCCUGAUGCAGCAACGCCGCGUGCGGGAUGACGGCCUUCGGGUUGUAAACCGCUUUCGCCUGUGACGAAGCGUGAGUGACGGUAAUGGGUAAAGAAGCACCGGCUAACUACGUG
rnacentral:rRNA from 1 species